rnacentral:lncRNA from 1 species
UAUAAGCUAUUUUUAUAACAGAAGAUAAAAUUAAGUCGAACUGUUUACAAGUUAUAGGCUGUUUUCACAAGUUAUCCUAAAGUUUACGAAAAUAAGCUAAAAUCAAGGACAUGUUAUAAGUUGUUUUCAUAAGCUCUCCCAACAAAUCUCACAAGUGCUUAUGUCAAUAGAUAAGCUCAAAUAAGUCAAUCAAAACAGAAGCAAAACAAAAUGAAUUUGAGAAUUUAAAUGUGAAGCAAGUAAGAUGAAAUUGAAACCUUUACUCAAGGCUUCAUCUGAAGCAGUAAUGCCGGUUUGUCCAUUAGAACUUGAUAAGCUGCUGUUUGUCUCAGAUGCAAUUGAAACAUCUUCAACUUGGGCUGCUACAGGUAUUUGUUCUUGCACUUCUUCGGUGGCAGGACUUUCAGGAGAGGGAACUUGAUCAUUUGCUGCUGUUUCAUCUGUCGACAGAUGAUUCAAAGUUCAGUUAAAGGAAGCACCCUUUAUAAACAAAAGAAGAAAAACAAUCCUCCAUUUGUUAAAUAAGCUAACUAUAAUUAUGUUACUCAAUUGCUUCGGUUUCAUAAAAUUGAUUGAUUAGGAUCACAUAGGAAAUGAAAGAGUGCAAUAUCAUGCAUUAUAUGAUUUAUAUAUAAAGUUAAAAUAAGCAACACGCUUAGAAAACUUUUUAUCAAUUUUAAUUCAAUAACCAAAAUUUAUUCAGGCAAAGCAGAAUUUCGAAAAGGAAUUAAGCAUAACCUUUACUCGAGCCUUCAUCUAAAGCAGUAAUGUCGGUUUGUUCAUUAGAACUAGAUAAGCUGCUGUUUGUCUCAGAUGCAUUUGCAACCUCUUCCUUUUCCUCUUCAACUUGUGCUGCUACAGGUAUUUGUUCUUGCACUUCUUCGGUGGCAGGACUUUCAGGAGAGGGAACUUGAUCAUUUGCUGCUGUUUCAUCUGUCGACAGAUGAUUCAAAGUUCAGUUAAAGGAAGCACCCUUUAUAAACAAAAGAAGAAAAACAAUCCUCCAUUUGUUAAAUAAGCUAACUAUAAUUAUGUUACUCAAUUGCUUCGGUUUCAUAAAAUUGAUUGAUUAGGAUCACAUAGGAAAUGAAAGAGUGCAAUAUCAUGCAUUAUAUGAUUUAUAUAUAAAGUUCAAAUAAGCAACACGCUUAGAAAACUUUUUAUCAAUUUUAAUUCAAUGACCAAAAUUUAUUCAGGCAAAGC